rnacentral:rRNA from 1 species
CCUACGGAUGGCAGCAGUGGGGAAUAUUGCACAAUGGGGGAAACCCUGAUGCAGCAACGCCGCGUGAGUGAAGAAGUAUUUCGGUAUGUAAAGCUCUAUCAGCAGGGAAGAAGAUGACGGUACCUUAGUAAGAAGCCCCGGCUAACUACGUGCCAGCAUCCGCGGUAAUACGUAGGGGGCAAGCGUUAUCCGGAUUUACUGUGUGUAAAGGGAGCGCAGACGGUGAGACAAGUCUGAAGUGAAAGCCCGGGGCCCAACCCCGGGACUGCUUUGGAAACUGCCUGACUAGAGUGCUGGAGAGGCAAGCGGAAUUCCUAGUGUAGCGGUGAAAUGCGUAGAUAUUAGGAAGAACACCAGUGGCGAAGGCGGCUUGCUGGACAGUAACUGACGUUGAGGCUCGAAAGCGUGGGGAGCAAACAGGAUUAGAUACCCCAGUAGUC